CCAACCCCAAAUUUCUCCAGCUCUAUUGGACCCUACAGUAGUCCGCUCUUUCACUACCUUCUGAUUGCUUGUCUCCUCCCUCAUAUCCUCACUUCCGCCCUUAAUCAGCUUAGAUCCAAAGUCCAGUUUAAUAACUACUCCCUUGCAUGAACACUCAACUCCUCAGCUUCCUGUCAUCUUUCUUUCCCUAUGAAACACUUCUUCCCUAAUCCUCAUCUUCAUGGACAGAUUUCCUAUCUCACUGAGAAAACAGAGGCCAGCAAUCGAGGACAUCCACCAGCUCCCAGACGCACUUGUACCCCAUCCUCGCUCUCCCUCCUGCAGGUGCCAGGGCUGACGGCCUUCCGGCAGCCCCAACAGAAAAGCAGAACCCAAGGAAAGGCUGCCUUCAAAUGGGGACACCCGGGGAAGAUGGGGGAUGAGCACUGA
rnacentral:lncRNA from 1 species